rnacentral:rRNA from 1 species
GAUUAAGUUAUUAAGGGCGCACGGUGGAUGCCUUGGCACUAGAAGCCGAUGAAGGACGUUACUAACGACGAUAUGCUUUGGGUAGCUGUAAGUAAGCGUUGAUCCAGAGAUUUCCGAAUGGGGAAACCCAGCAUGAGUUAUGUCAUGUUAUCGAUAUGUGAAUACAUAGCAUAUCAGAAGGCACACCCGGAGAACUGAAACAUCUUAGUACCCGGAGGAAGAGAAAGAAAAAUCGAUUCCCUGAGUAGCGGCGAGCGAAACGGGAAGAGCCCAAACCAACAAGCUUGCUUGUUGGGGUUGUAGGACACUCUGUACGGAGUUACAAAGGACAAUAUUAGACGAAUCAUCUGGAAAGAUGAAUCAAAGAAGGUAACAAUCCUGUAGUUGAAAAUAUUGUCUCUCUUGAGUGGAUCCUGAGUACGACGGAGCACGUGAAAUUCCGUCGGAAUCUGGGAGGACCAUCUCCCAAGGCUAAAUACUCUCUAGUGACCGAUAGUGAACCAGUACCGUGAGGGAAAGGUGAAAAGCACCCCGGAAGGGGAGUGAAAUAGAACCUGAAACCGUGUGCUUACAAGUAGUCAGAGCCCGUUAAUGGGUGAUGGCGUGCCUUUUGUAGAAUGAACCGGCGAGUUACGAUUUGAUGCAAGGUUAAGCAGUAAAUGUGGAGCCGUAGCGAAAGCGAGUCUGAAUAGGGCGUUUAGUAUUUGGUCGUAGACCCGAAACCAGGUGAUCUACCCUUGGUCAGGUUGAAGUUCAGGUAACACUGAAUGGAGGACCGAACCGACUUACGUUGAAAAGUGAGCGGAUGAACUGAGGGUAGCGGAGAAAUUCCAAUCGAACCUGGAGAUAGCUGGUUCUCUCCGAAAUAGCUUUAGGGCUAGCCUCAAGUGAUGAUUAUUGGAGGUAGAGCACUGUUUGGACGAGGGGCCCUUCUCGGGUUACCGAAUUCAGACAAACUCCGAAUGCCAAUUAAUUUAACUUGGGAGUCAGAACAUGGGUGAUAAGGUCCGUGUUCGAAAGGGAAACAGCCCAGACCACCAGCUAAGGUCCCAAAAUAUAUGUUAAGUGGAAAAGGAUGUGGCGUUGCCCAGACAACUAGGAUGUUGGCUUAGAAGCAGCCAUCAUUUAAAGAGUGCGUAAUAGCUCACUAGUCGAGUGACACUGCGCCGAAAAUGUACCGGGGCUAAACAUAUUACCGAAGCUGUGGAUUGUCCUUUGGACAAUGGUAGGAGAGCGUUCUAAGGGCGGUGAAGCAUGAUCGCAAGGACAUGUGGAGCGCUUAGAAGUGAGAAUGCCGGUGUGAGUAGCGAAAGACGGGUGAGAAUCCCGUCCACCGAUUGACUAAGGUUUCCAGAGGAAGGCUCGUCCGCUCUGGGUUAGUCGGGUCCUAAGCUGAGGCCGACAGGCGUAGGCGAUGGAUAACAGGUUGAUAUUCCUGUACCACCUAUAAUCGUUUUAAUCGAUGGGGGGACGCAGUAGGAUAGGCGAAGCGUGCGAUUGGAUUGCACGUCUAAGCAGUAAGGCUGAGUACUAGGCAAAUCCGGUACUCGUGAAGGCUGAGCUGUGAUGGGGAGAAGACAUUGUGUCUUCGAGUCGUUGAUUUCACACUGCCGAGAAAAGCCUCUAGAUAGAAAAUAGGUGCCCGUACCGCAAACCGACACAGGUAGUCAAGAUGAGAAUUCUAAGGUGAGCGAGCGAACUCUCGUUAAGGAACUCGGCAAAAUGACCCCGUAACUUCGGGAGAAGGGGUGCUCUUUAGGGUUAACGCCCAGAAGAGCCGCAGUGAAUAGGCCCAAGCGACUGUUUAUCAAAAACACAGGUCUCUGCUAAACCGUAAGGUGAUGUAUAGGGGCUGACGCCUGCCCGGUGCUGGAAGGUUAAGAGGAGUGGUUAGCUUCUGCGAAGCUACGAAUCGAAGCCCCAGUAAACGGCGGCCGUAACUAUAACGGUCCUAAGGUAGCGAAAUUCCUUGUCGGGUAAGUUCCGACCCGCACGAAAGGCGUAACGAUUUGGGCACUGUCUCAACGAGAGACUCGGUGAAAUCAUAGUACCUGUGAAGAUGCAGGUUACCCGCGACAGGACGGAAAGACCCCGUGGAGCUUUACUGUAGCCUGAUAUUGAAAUUCGGCACAGCUUGUACAGGAUAGGUAGGAGCCUUUGAAACGUGAGCGCUAGCUUACGUGGAGGCGCUGGUGGGAUACUACCCUAGCUGUGUUGGCUUUCUAACCCGCACCACUUAUCGUGGUGGGAGACAGUGUCAGGCGGGCAGUUUGACUGGGGCGGUCGCCUCCUAAAAGGUAACGGAGGCGCUCAAAGGUUCCCUCAGAAUGGUUGGAAAUCAUUCAUAGAGUGUAAAGGCAUAAGGGAGCUUGACUGCGAGACCUACAAGUCGAGCAGGGUCGAAAGACGGACUUAGUGAUCCGGUGGUUCCGCAUGGAAGGGCCAUCGCUCAACGGAUAAAAGCUACCCCGGGGAUAACAGGCUUAUCUCCCCCAAGAGUUCACAUCGACGGGGAGGUUUGGCACCUCGAUGUCGGCUCAUCGCAUCCUGGGGCUGUAGUCGGUCCCAAGGGUUGGGCUGUUCGCCCAUUAAAGCGGUACGCGAGCUGGGUUCAGAACGUCGUGAGACAGUUCGGUCCCUAUCCGUCGUGGGCGUAGGAAAUUUGAGAGGAGCUGUCCUUAGUACGAGAGGACCGGGAUGGACAUACCUCUGGUGUACCAGUUGUCGUGCCAACGGCAUAGCUGGGUAGCUAUGUAUGGACGGGAUAAGUGCUGAAAGCAUCUAAGCAUGAAGCCCCCCUCAAGAUGAGAUUUCCCAACUUCGGUUAUAAGAUCCCUCAAAGAUGAUGAGGUUAAUAGGUUCGAGGUGGAAGCAUGGUGACAUGUGGAGCUGACGAAUACUAAUCGAUCGAAGACUUAAUCAA